rnacentral:rRNA from 1 species
AUACGGAGGAUCCGAGCGUUAUCCGGAUUUAUUGGGUUUAAAGGGUGCGUAGGCGGCCUUUUAAGUCAGCGGUGAAAGUCUGUGGCUCAACGAUAAAAUUGCAGUUGAUACUGGCUGUCUUGAGUACAGUAGAGGUGGGCGGAAUUCGUGGUGUAGCGGUGAAAUGCUUAGAUAUGACGAAGAACACCGAUUGCGUAGGCAGCUGACCAGACCGCAAAUGACGCCCAUGCACGAAAGUGCGGGGAUCGAACAGGAUUAGAUACCCUGGUAGUCCGCACAGUAAACGAUGAAUACUUGUUUUCGGCGAUAUAAUGUCGGAGGCAAAGCGAAAGCGAUAAGUAUUCCACCUGGGGAGUACGCCGGCAACGGUGAAACUCAAAUGAAUUGACGGGG